CAGCAGCCGCGGGAAUACGAAGGGGGCUAGCGUUGUUCGGAUUUACUGGGCGUAAAGCGCUCGUAGGCGGAUUCUUAAGUCAGAGGUGAAAUCCCAAGGCUCAACCUUGGAACUGCCUUUGAUACUGGGGAUCUCGAGUCCGGGAGAGGUGAGUGGAACUGCGAGUGUAGAGGUGAAAUUCGUAGAUAUUCGCAAGAACACCAGUGGCGAAGGCGGCUCACUGGCCCGGUACUGACGCUGAGGUGCGAAAGCGUGGGGAGCAAACAGGAUUAGAUACCCCCGUAGUCCCUGUCUCUUAUAC
rnacentral:rRNA from 1 species